CUUACAUUUUCCCAAGGUUAAUAAAAUGAUUAUUGAUAAACUGAAUAAUAAUAAAAACAAUGUGAACAUAGAGCUUUAGGCACCCUUCCUGUUUAAAUCAUUUUCUAUUAUUAUCUCAAAAAAGCUGAACAAAUUAAAUUAAUUGAAAAACAUGCAAGUAAUAUAAGAUGCUUAUUGUAUUACUGAAGUUCAAAUAACUCUCGCUAGAUUCCUAGAUCAGAUUCUGUUCAUCAAGAAAAAUAAUUGAAGAAAUGACUGAUUGCAUUAUAUAUUCAAAACCUGCUAUUAACAAUUAUAUGCAGCCUUCCUCAGUGCCAGAUCCGUUAU